rnacentral:rRNA from 1 species
CCUACGGGAGGCUGCAGUGAGGAAUAUUGGUCAAUGGGCGCGAGCCUGAACCAGCCAAGUAGCGUGAAGGAUGACUGCCCUACGGGUUGUAAACUUCUUUUAUAAAGGAAUAAAGUGAGGCACAUGUGCCUUUUUGUGUGUACUUUAUGAAUAAGGAUCGGCUAACUCCGUGCCAGCAGCCGCGGUAAUACGGAGGAUCCGAGCGUUAUCCGGAGUUAUUGGGUUUAAAGGGCGCUUAGAUGGGUUGUUAAGUCAGUUGUGAAAGUUUGCGGCUCAACCGUAAAAGUGCAAUUGAUACUGGCAGGCUUGAGUACAGUUGAGGUAGGCGGAAUUCGUGGUGUAGCGGUGAAAUGCUUAGAUAUCACGAAGAACUCCGAUUGCGAAGGCAGCGUACUAAACUGCCACUGACAUUGAUGCUCGAAAGUGUGGGUAUCAAACAGGAUUAGAUACCCGAGUAGUC